rnacentral:rRNA from 1 species
UGGGGAAUAUUGCACAAUGGGCGCAAGCCUGAUGCAGCCAUGCCGCGUGUAUGAAGAAGGCCUUCGGGUUGUAAAGUACUUUCAGCGGGGAGGAAGGGAGUAAAGUUAAUACCUUUGCUCAUUGACGUUACCCGCAGAAGAAGCACCGGCUAACUCCGUGCCAGCAGCCGCGGUAAUACGGAGGGGGCAAGCGUUAAUCGGAAUUACUGGGCGUAAAGCGCACGCAGGCGGUUUGUUAAGUCAGAUGUGAAAUCCCCGGGCUCAACCUGGGAACUGAAUCUGAUACUGGCAAGCUUGAGUCUCGUAGAGGGGGGUAGAAUUCCAGGUGUAGCGGUGAAAUGCGUAGAGAUCUGGAGGAAUACCGGUGGCGAAGGCGGCCCCCUGGACGAAGACUGACGCUCAGGUGCGAAAGCGUGGGGAGCAAACAGG